rnacentral:rRNA from 1 species
UGGGGAAUUUUGGACAAUGGGCGAAAGCCUGAUCCAGCCAUGCCGCGUGAGUGAAGAAGGCCUUCGGGUUGUAAAGCUCUUUUAGUCGGAAAGAAAGAGUUGCAAUGAAUAAUUGUGAUUUAUGACGGUACCGACAGAAAAAGCACCGGCUAACUACGUGCCAGCAGCCGCGGUAAUACGUAGGGUGCGAGCGUUAAUCGGAAUUACUGGGCGUAAAGGGUGCGCAGGCGGUCUUGCAAGUCAGAUGUGAAAGCCCCGGGCUUAACCUGGGAAUUGCGUUUGAAACUACAAGGCUAGAGUGCAGCAGAGGGGAGUGGGAUUCCAUGUGUAGCAGUGAAAUGCGUAGAGAUGUGGAAGAACACCGAUGGCGAAGGCAGCUCCCUGGGUUGACACUGACGCUCAUGCACGAAAGCGUGGGGAGCAAACA